CAGAAUAUAGCUUAAUAAAAGCCUUUUGCUUACACCAAAAAAAUAUCCUUUAGAUUAUUCUGA
rnacentral:tRNA from 1 species